rnacentral:rRNA from 1 species
CCUACGGGGGGCUGCAGUGGGGGAUAUUGCACAAUGGGGGAAACCCUGAUGCAGCGACGCCGCGUGUGGGAAGACGGUCCUCUGGAUUGUAAACCACUGUCCCCAGGGACGAAGAUGACGGUACCUGGGGAGGAAGCUCCGGCUAACAACGUGCCAGCAGCACCGGUAAUACGUAGGGAGCGAGCGUUGUUCGGAAUUACUGGGUGAAAAGGGAGCGUAGGCGGGACUGCAAGUUGGGGGUAAAAUCUACCGGCUCAACCGGUAGCCGCACUCAAAACUGCAGUUCUUGAGUGAAGUAGAGGCAGGCGGAAUUCCUAGUGUAGCGGUGAAAUGCGUAGAUAUUAGGAGGAACACCAGUGGCGAAGGCGGCCUGCUGGGCUUUUACUGACGCUGAGGCUCGAAAGUGUGGGGAGCAAACAGGAUUAGAUACCCUGGUAGUC